rnacentral:rRNA from 1 species
ACAGGGAUUGCCCUAGUAACGGCGAGUGAAGCGGCAACAGCUCAAAUUUGAAAUCUGGCGUCUUUGGCGUCCGAGUUGUAAUUUGCAGAGGGCGCUUUGGCAUUGGCAGCGGUCCAAGUUCCUUGGAACAGGACGUCACAGAGGGUGAGAAUCCCGUACGUGGUCGCUAGCCUUUACCGUGUAAAGCCCCUUCGACGAGUCGAGUUGUUUGGGAAUGCAGCUCUAAAUGGGAGGUAAAUUUCUUCUAAAGCUAAAUACUGGCCAGAGACCGAUAGCGCACAAGUAGAGUGAUCGAAAGAUGAAAAGCACUUUGGAAAGAGAGUUAAAAAGCACGUGAAAUUGUUGAAAGGGAAGCGCUUGCAGCCAGACUUGCCUGUAGUUGCUCAUCCGGGUUUCUACCCGGUGCACUCUUCUACGGGCAGGCCAGCAUCAGUUUGGGCGGUUGGAUAAAGGUCUCUGUCAUGUACCUCCUCUCGGGGAGAUCUUAUAGGGGAGACGACAUGCAACCAGCCUGGACUGAGGUCCGCGCAUCUGCUAGGAUGCUGGCGUAAUGGCUGUAAGCGGCCCGUCUUGAAACACGGACCAAGGAGUCUAACAUCUAUGCGAGUGUUUGGGUGUCAAGCCCGAGCGCGUAAUGAAAGUGAACGGAGGUGGGAACCUUUCGGGGUGCACCAUCGACCGAUCCUGAUGUCUUCGGAUGGAUUUGAGUAAGAGCAUAGCUGUUGGGACCCGAAAGAUGGUGAACUAUGCUUGAAUAGGGUGAAGCCAGAGGAAACUCUGGUGGAGGCUCGCAGCGGUUCUGACGUGCAAAUCGAUCGUCAAAUUUGGGCAUAGGGGCGAAAGACUAAUCGAACUAUCUAGUAGCUGGUUCCUGCCGAAGUUUCCCUCAGGAUAGCAGUAACGUUUUCAGUUUUAUGAGGUAAAGCGAAUGAUUAAAGGCCUGGGGGUUGAAACAACCUU